rnacentral:rRNA from 1 species
AGCGAACGCUGGCGGCAGGCCUAACACAUGCAAGUCGAACGGACCUUUCGGGGUUAGUGGCGGACGGGUGAGUAACACGUGGGAACGUGCCUUUAGGUUCGGAAUAGCUCCUGGAAACGGGUGGUAAUGCCGAAUGUGCCCUUCGGGGGAAAGAUUUAUCGCCUUUAGAGCGGCCCGCGUCUGAUUAGCUAGUUGGUGAGGUAAUGGCUCACCAAGGCGACGAUCAGUAGCUGGUCUGAGAGGAUGACAGCCACAUUGGGACUGAGACACGGCCCAAACUCCUACGGGAGGCAGCAGUGGGGAAUCUUGCGCAAUGGGCGAAAGCCUGACGCAGCCAUGCCGCGUGGAUGAUGAAGGUCUUAGGAUUGUAAAAUCCUUUCACCGGUGAAGAUAAUGACUGUAGCCGGAGAAGAAGCCCCGGCUAACUUCGUGCCAGCCGCCGCGGUAAGAC